rnacentral:tRNA from 1 species
CGCGGGGUGGAGCAGUUCGGUAGCUCGUCGGGCUCAUAACCCGAAGGUCGGGGGUUCAAAUCCCUCCCCGCUA